rnacentral:rRNA from 1 species
AGGAAGGAUCAUUACCGAGUGUAGGGUUCCUAGCGAGCCCAACCUCCCACCCGUGUUUACUGUACCUUAGUUGCUUCGGCGGGCCCGCCAUUCAUGGCCGCCGGGGGCUCUCAGCCCCGGGCCCGCGCCCGCCGGAGACACCACGAACUCUGUCUGAUCUAGUGAAGUCUGAGUUGAUUGUAUCGCAAUCAGUUAAAACUUUCAACAAUGGAUCUCUUGGUUCCGGCAUCGAUGAAGAACGCAGCGAAAUGCGAUAACUAGUGUGAAUUGCAGAAUUCCGUGAAUCAUCGAGUCUUUGAACGCACAUUGCGCCCCCUGGUAUUCCGGGGGGCAUGCCUGUCCGAGCGUCAUUGCUGCCCAUCAAGCACGGCUUGUGUGUUGGGUCGUCGUCCCCUCUCCGGGGGGGACGGGCCCCAAAGGCAGCGGCGGCACCGCGUCCGAUCCUCGAGCGUAUGGGGCUUUGUCACCCGCUCUGUAGGCCCGGCCGGCGCUUGCCGAACGCAAAUCAAUCUUUUUCCAGGUUGACCUCGGAUCAGGUAGGAUAC